rnacentral:lncRNA from 1 species
GGCUCCGCGCGCCUGCCAGGCCGGGGCCGGCGGCGGAACAGCUUGGGACCCGAAACGCCUCGGCUUUUCUGCGGACCCGCGCCCGGCCGCUGCCGCCGGACGCUUGAAAAGAGGCAGAGUCUUGCUUUGUUGUCCAGGCUGGUCUUGAACUUCUGAGCUCAAGUGAUCCUCCCGCCUUGGCCUCCCAAAGUGCUGAGACUACAGAGAGAGAAUGCUAACGAGCUGUGAAAUGACCAAAGAUCUGGCAGCAGAAGGGAAAAGAAAAAAUAAUGGGAAGAAGAGGAUUUAUCUGACUCAACUGGAGAUGGCUCCCUUCCCUUAUUUAUUGUUGCAUCCUGAAGCUUCCCCCAUGCUGGGCUCAGUGUGAACAAACAGCGCGGGAGAAUGCAACCACUGCAGAGGCAUAUGUUUGAGAUACCUGGCCACUGGAGGUCAUCUCGUCUACUAUAUUCACCGCAGAUAAAGAAUGAAAAGAGAAUACACAACCUUGUGAUUGCUAGCAGUGAAAGCUCAGAGUUAUGACAUAACAUGCUGCAGUGCUGGCAGCCAUCCCGAGAAGGCUCUGAAGAGUGGGCUGGUUAACAGGAGCAUUUUCACUGCAGGCAGACUCGGUUGCCUUGGUGAAGUCCCCGUGCAUCUGAAGAGUGGCUCAUCUGUUCCUGCCUGGGGAUCACUUGUGCUCAUCCAGGCAUGGCCCCCACCAGAAAUCUGGGAGAAUGGCGAGCUGGUGCCAGCUGAACUGUGAACCUCUAAGAAUAAGUGAAUAAAACGAUUUUAUGCACUACAA